CCAGCUCUGAGAGCUGAGCAGUUUACUUUGGGAAGCCCAGAACUGCUCUCCAUUUCCAUCUGGAUAAAUGAUAACCGUGCCUCUGAAAAUAAAUAUCCCUCAACAAAGCUUCUAUAUAACCAGAGCACAUCAAUCGCCUUUUGAAAGCACUAAAAAAACCCUCAAGGCAAGUCUUCCUUGCUGAAAUGGCUGGACCAGCCUGGGGAGGUAGACAACAUGUUGACAGUACAGUAUUAAUCUUAACGUCGAGGGAAAAGGACAGAUGGACUUGCUUUUUCCCUGAAAAAUAAGUGUGAGGUUGCACCGGGCAGCUUAAGAGAAUGGUAAAGGCAACAGAGAUGAGGGAAGGAAAGGAAGCAAGACUGACAAGGAUAAGAUCACAAAUAUAAGGAGACUGAAUGCAACAUGCAGAGGACAAACCCCAAAAGCCUGCACUGUUCACUAAAGGAUGCUGUAAGAUUUCCCCAAAGGCACAGGAAAUUCGUAGCACAGUGACCUGUCUUUUUGCAGGUGCUGUCACAGAGCCAAUGGACACUCAGGUUUUUGUGUGCAAAUUUUUCUAUGAGUAUUUCAGCUGCAAGAAUAUUUGAGCACCUCAAUAAACAGAGGGACACUAGACAAGCACCUCCUGAUACUGAGCCAGCUACCAGUGAAGCAAGUGAAAUGGAGAAGAAACAGCAAGAUGAUGUCUUUAACACUUUAGAUCAUUCUACAGGCAUGAGUCUCAGAUUCUGCUAUCCCUAUAACCUGUUAAAGGGCAUAUUUAAGAAACUAAA